AAUAAACGCUGGCGGCGUGCCUAACACAUGCAAGUCGAGCGAGAAAGCUCCUUCGGGAGUGAGUACAGCGGCGAACGGGUGAGCAACGCGUGGGAACGUGCCCCAAAGUGAGGGAUAACGCACCGAAAGGUGUGCUAAUACCGCAUAUGGUGUUCGGAUUAAAGCUUCGGCGCUUUGGGAGCGGCCCGCGUACGAUUAGAUAGUUGGUGAGGUAAUGGCUCACCAAGUCGACGAUCGUUAGCUGGUCUGAGAGGAUGAUCAGCCAGACUGGGACUGAGACACGGCCCAGACUCCUACAGGAGGCAGCAGUAAGGAAUCUUCCACAAUGGGGGCAACCCUGAUGGAGCAACGCCGCGUGCAGGAUGAAGGUUUUCGGAUCGUAAACUGCUUUUAUAAGUGAAGAAUAUGACGGUAACUUAUGAAUAAGGAUCGGCUAACUACGUGCCAGCCGCCGCGGUAA
rnacentral:rRNA from 1 species